rnacentral:rRNA from 1 species
UACGAAGGUCCCAAGCGUUAUCCGGAUUUAUUGGGUUUAAAGGGUGCGUAGGUGGCCCUGUAAGUCAGUGGUGAAAUAUCUCAGCUUAACUGAGAGGGUGCCAUUGAUACUGCAGGGCUUGAGUACAGAUGAGGUAGGCGGAAUUGACGGUGUAGCGGUGAAAUGCAUAGAUAUCGUCAAGAACACCGAUAGCGAAGGCAGCUUACCAAGCUGUAACUGACACUGAGGCACGAAAGUGUGGGGAUCAAACAGG